GAUGAACGCUGGCGGCGUGCCUAAUACAUGCAAGUCGAGCGAACAGACGAGGAGCUUGCUCCUCUGACGUUAGCGGCGGACGGGUGAGUAACACGUGGAUAACCUACCUAUAAGACUGGGAUAACUUCGGGAAACCGGAGCUAAUACCGGAUAAUAUAUUGAACCGCAUGGUUCAAUAGUGAAAGACGGUUUUGCUGUCACUUAUAGAUGGAUCCGCGCCGCAUUAGCUAGUUGGUAAGGUAACGGCUUACCAAGGCAACGAUGCGUAGCCGACCUGAGAGGGGGAUCGGCCACACUGUAACUGAGACACGGUCCAGACUCCUACGGGAGGCAGCAGUAGGGAAUCUUCCGCAAUGGGCGAAAGCCUGACGGAGCAACGCCGCGUGAGUGAUGAAGGUCUUCGGAUCGUAAAACUCUGUUAUUAGGGAAGAACAAAUGUGUAAGUAACUAUGCACGUCUUGACGGUACCUAAUCAGAAAGCCACGGCUAACUACGUG
rnacentral:rRNA from 1 species